AACAGCGAUAAGUAGUUUAUGCAGGCUGAUCGAAUUAAAGUUCACAAUACUCGAAAUUAGCACUUGGUUCUCAGAUUGAAAAAUACGUGCCGUGCAGCGGUUCCGUAUCAAGCUGGGGUCGGGACAAGUCGCUCAGCAUCCUGCUAGGCUUGUGCUUAAAUCACGUUCCUGUUGCAUUCGGUUGCAACAGCAGUGUUGCAAAGGUUUAGGUGAUUCAGUUCAAUUAAUUAUGCUACCUUAAAAUAUAUAUCUGAAUCUUCUGUGUUCUGAAACUUUGCAAGUGUGAAAUUUGCUCUACAGUUUGUCUCUUGUGUUGUGUUUUGCACCGGCUUGUUUCCUUUUCCCGCUACCUCCAGUGGCUAGAUGUGAACACUUAAACCAAAACAAACAAACAAAUGAAAAAAAACUCCAAAACCCCAACCCAUCCCAUAAAGUGGCUACGCGUGGGUGAUGCUGCCGGAGUUGUUAUGGGCUGAUCGGAAACAAACCUCUGAAACAAGCGCUCUGCUUCACUCCUUGCGCUGUGCCAUUGACUGAAGCCCAGUGCUGGUAAUUGGUGUGCCAAUGUUUACAGAGAUAUUUAUUUUUUGCUGAUCGCCUUACUGGAAAUAUUAAUCUUGUAUUCUUAUGCCAGAAUCUAUAAUUGGUGGUCUGCCAGAUAUUUACCAAAAUGAUUUUUCCCUGAUAAAAUGUAUUCUAUCUUUUAUCAUUCAUUUUCAGAGUGCUGCAGAAUGUAAAGGGGCAGAGAAAAAUAACCUGAAUUCAGUACCAGAGGCUUUUGGCCAUACUUAAUUUAGUAGAAGCCUGAGUUUUAACAGAACAGAAGCUAUCACAAUUAAUCCGUCCUGUGGUGUCCACUUGUACAGCUUAAGAAGCUUGCCCCGAAGUUCAGCAGGUGCCUCCUGCUGCGUGUUUGCAGCCCUUUGCUUGAAUGGAAAUGCAGGUGGAAGUCAGGAGCCAUAGCUGCUGUUACCCAUCAGGCUGCAUCUCUGGUUUGAACAGACCCCCGCAAGACUGACAGCUUAAUCCUGGCGUGCUCCUCCAAAGGGCGACUGCCUGCGCAGACGGCAUCUCCCGCUCGCCGCCCCCGUGCUCCGCAGGCUCCGUGGCAGCAGGAGCGCUCUGACAGUAGCAUAGCACUUGGCCUCUGCUGCUGCGACCUGCGAAGAGAGUUCUGCUGAAAUGAUGCCCCUGCAGCUGUUGGGGACCGUACGGGGACAUUUAUGUGUGAGGUCAGGACCUCAGAUCACAGCCAGGAACUGAAGCAAGAGCUGACGGCAAUCGUGAUGCAACCUCAAUAACGUGCUCACAUAGAACAAAGUGUGCAGCUGGAAAGCCUUCAGCAAUAGGUGGCCUUGGCCAUAACAGCUUCAACGCCAAACGGGUGGAAUGUGGACCCCUUUCCAGGUGUAGAAUUGUUACCUGAAAAGGGUGGUGAAGAAGCUUGCUGUAGGGCAUAACGUAAUACUCACCUACCUGCAGAGCCAGCAGCAGUUUGGAAUGUGCAGGUGAGCUCCUGGUAACUCCAGUUUUAAGCUGAGAGCCGAUAUACACAGGUACAGGGGCACUUCACAGAAUAACGGGGUCAAUUUUGCAUUCUUCAUAGAAACCUCUUUUUUGUUUCUUGCUCGAGGCUCUCUGUUUCCCCAUGGCCCCUACGGGAAGCCCUGACUGUGGCUGCUCUGCAGCCCCUCCUUGUCCGAGUCCCGGGAUCUCGCCUCGUUACUCGGAGGGAUCUGAAAGGAUCUGGUGGGGUCCAGAAGCAGGACAACAAAAGAGGCCUUGGUCACCUCUGUGAUACAGCUACAAAACCUGCUCUGCUUCCCUUGUGCUUGCUGUUCAGCAGAGGUCUGGUGGGUUUGAUGUUCAGGUAGAAGGACUGGCUGGAGUUCAUCCCGUAGAUGUUGGAUGAGCUGCUGGGGUUGGUAGGUCUGGAAGGGAUGAGGCCAACACAUGGAUCUUUGUUUCUUGACAGUCCAGCCCAACCAGCAGAGUAGGUUGCUUGCAGUAACCAGGUUUUGGCAGCGGCAGUGUGGAUUCCCUCAGCAGAGGAGAGAGUCAUGGUCUUGGCUUGCUCUGCUAAGUGUUACCAUAUUUCUUCUUACUUCCAUUUCCUCUGGGCUGAGUUUCAGCUCAGCUUUCUUCCUCCAGAUGCUCGUAUCUGACAGACAUCUCGUUACUUGUGAUGAAGUUCAUUGAACCAGAUGAGAAGACAGUGUGUAUUCAAACACCCAUGUCAACUUGGUGGCAUCAGAGAUUUAGUCCCGGAUCCUGAGAAAGAGGAGGAGCAGGGUAUUGCAGUGCUUCACACGUUUCUGGACAGUAAAAAUCACCUUCUGUUCCCUGCAGUCUGUCAAAAGGAAAGUGAACUGAACCAUCCCCUUCAGCUGUGUCUUCUGUGGGAAUAAGUAAUAUGCAUGGUGCUGAAAAGCCCAGGUCAGGUCCCGUUUAGCUCUGAGAACUGCCUGUCCUCAGCCGUGAAUCGCUCACAGGAUUCAGCAAAGAGGCUCGAGCAAGCAGCAGCUGUUUUCCCAGGUGCUUGUAGGGAGGUGGAAGGUGGAGGCCGAGAGCGGUGAGGGCUGAUGCUGGAGCAGCCGCGGGGGUCUGUGGACCGGCUUUCGUGAUGGUUUGCUGGUCGCGAGGUUUCUGUCCAAGGGAGCACGUAAGCAUGGACAUAACGUCAGGCUGGUCCAUAGUCCUGCUCCCCUCGGUGGGGCUCCAUACCUGGAUAAGUGCUGGCCCAUACUGGAGAGCUAGCAGAUCCGUUUGAGUUACGCUGCUGGCUCCCUGGAUCGCUUCUCAGUGCUCAUACUCGAUUGCCAGUUUUCAGUUCCUCUUGGUCUGGCUUGUGCCAACAUGUUAUUUGUAUUACUGAUAAUGUUACAUGUGGAAAUGAAUGGCUGCUUUUGAAAUUAGCGCGAACGUAUAGAGCCUAAAAGCAAUCGUACAAAAAUGAAACCAAACUGUAUGCUUCCAAGCUGUGUAAUUGCAGAACAAGAUGCUAAUGUUCGUCAAAAAUGCAGGCUUUUGCCUAAAUGACAUGCUUUGUGGGAGUAAUUAAUUUGUAUUUAAUUAUUAUCUAACUUGUGAAGAAAUGUUCUGAAGAAGUCAUAUCUUCAGCACAAGUCUUUCAACUUUUUUCUUUAAGAUAAAUUUCUUCUUUAGACUCACAGCAUUUUAUAUUUUGUAUGAUAACACCAACAGGAGACUGCUUAGCAAAAGUCAAUACUUACAAUUUUUGCCUUUAAGGCUAUCUCAUAAUUAUGUAUUUAACUAAUCAACACUCCAGAACUUCCAGAUGCAACAGAUACAGGGUUUGUGAAUGAUUUCCCUAUAUACAUCUUAAUUUUCUAGCAGCAGCUGUAAUUUAUGGGAUUCCACGCGGAAUAGCAGGGCUAAUGAUGAGCAAAUGUGUUUUUAAAGUUCUACUGGAUGCAAACGCUGGUAUAUGGUGAAAGGGAUGAAAACAGAUGACUUCUGAGUGUAAAAGCUCUUGCCUCUUGUGUGUAAAUGCUCCCAAAUCCUGGGUUGGCAAAGCAGAGCUCCGGAGUUGUUCAGAGUAAAACUCCUGGUCCUGUUUUGAUGUAGGCGAGGUGGGGCUCAUCUGUGUUGAAUUGGCAGAGGGCUGCCUAUCCGUACCGUGGCGGGACGAUCCAUGUGUGUUUGAGCCCGUAUUCCUUGGAAGAAUGGCUGGUUUGGGCAAUGACAUUCCUGAAAGAGCAGAGGACACCCUGUUUAUAAUGUUUGUCCGCGGUUGUGCUGGGUUUGGCUGGGAUAGAGUUAGUCGUCUUCAUAGUAGCUGGUAUGGUGCUGUGUUUUGGAUUUGUGACCAGAACAGUGUUGGUCACACGGGGAUGUGUUAGCUGCUGCUGAGUGAGUGGUGCUUGCGCAGCAUCAAGGUCUUCUCUGUUCCUCACCCUGCCCUGCCAGCGAGCAGGCUGGGGGGGGCACGAGGGGCUGGGAGGGGGCACAGCCAGACCCCACUGACCAAGGGAUACCCCAGAUCAUAUGGCACCACGCUCAGUAAUAAAAGCUGGGGCAGAAGGAGGAAGGGGACGUUCGGAGCGGCGGCAUUUGUCUUCCCCAGUCACCGUGAGGCGUGAUGGAGCCCUGCUGUCCUGGGGGUGGCGGAACGCCUGCCUGCGAUGGGAAGGACAGAAGGAAUUCCUCCUUUUGCUUUGCUUGCACGCGCAGCUUGUGCUUUACCUGUUAAACUCUCCUUACCUCAACCCACCAGUUUUCGCACUUUUACCGUUCUGAUUCUCCCCCAUCCUGCUGCGGGGGAGCGAGUGAGCGGCUGGGGGGGCUGCGCUGCCCGCCGGGGUUAACCCACGACAGCUGUCCCAGGUGAGACUUGCGACACGGCACGGGGACAGAGAAAGAAAGGAGGGGAAAGCCCUCCAUGGUGUGUUCGCAGCCAGUGUAAAGCCCGGGAAGGUGCCUGGCUCCGUGCUGGGCUGCACCCUUUGCGCAGCGAGUGCUCAGCCCAAGGGCCUCUCCCCUGAGCCGUGCUCGCUGUACGAAUGCUGGUUUUACAACAUGGAACGCUGGGGAAGAUGAAUUUCCAGGAUCUCUUCUAUCUUCAGUGAAUGUUAGCCACAGAGUUUGCUGGUGCUCAUAAAAAUAAUAUUGUUCUAUCUACUAAAGAGCAUGUAAAUGCUUAAGUUAAAUCUAAUUUCUGCUAGAAGAGUUUCUGAUUUCUUUUGUUAAAUCUACUGGGCCUUUCUAUUCAGAUACAUUGGUAUAAAACAACAUAGCCAAAUACAGAAGGUGGAAAAUAUUUAGUGUCUAGCGCAGAGGGAAAUUGAGUUUCUUCAGUUCCCAUGAUGAGGAUGAUGAUAACAUAUGAUAUGAACUUUCCUGACAGCCCUGGAUUUAUAGAGGGUUAGGUAUCAUCGUGGAGGAGCUGCCAAGGAAACCUACCUGCAUGAUCCUGCAAAGUGAGGAAAUGUACUGCUGGGAGCGUGCCGAGUGCCGCCAGCUUUGCUGACCUUGCCUCAGGAAAUCCCUUUUCUUGCUAGAGCCCAUUUUUCUUGGAAAUUCUCAGCAGUAGAUUUUCACUCGUGAACCCCGAAAUCAUCAAGACAAAUGAUCUGGACCCAUCUGAGGUGUGUUGGUUUACAGAUGAGUAUCCGUGCAUUAAGAUAUCAGCCUAACACUCGGAUGCGGUUUGUUUUCAAGCGGGAAAUCUUUAGGAGUUUUAUCUUUGAAAUACCCAGUGCUACGAUUUCCCAAAUUGCCCCCUCAACGCAGAUAUUCCUGUGGUAUGUUUUGCAAAUGCUCAGAGUUCAAAAUAGCGCUUGGUCUGUGUUAAGGCUCCUGUCAUACUAAGUACUGACCUAUAGUGCAAAUUAUGAAGGCUUUUGUUUUCUUAAAUAGCUGGCCGCUGGAAAAAUUCAGGUCAGAGUGAGCAGGAGUCAUGUUGGUUUAACUCUGGUAAAGCAGUCGUGUGUAACUAAUACUGUAUUAUUAACACUGGGGGAAAUUUUCAACUUUCAGCAUCUUGACAAAAAAACAGACAAUAAAAAUUGCUCGGUGACUUUUUCUAACCUUUGUAACAUGUACUUUACUCACCAAGACCACUGCUUCUCCACUCUGUGGGCUCAGGCAGUGAAACAGAGAUUACAGCUGUGCCAUUCAUUGGGAAAAUGCCUUUUUUUUUUCUGAAGAGAACUUUUAGGAAAUACUAAUUUAUUGAUUCUCACAUUUUUAAUCUUUUGCACUUUCAUUUUUCAUGGUUUAUAUCUUCGUAAAUCUGAAGUCCUGCAUGGUGAUAUAGGUAUCAAGGUAGGUGCAGGCAUGGGAUGAUCAUCUGAUCAUCGAUCAGAUCACCAGAAUGCAGACAGGCCUUGUGUCCUGCAAAAAGUGAAGUUUAAAUAGCCAAAUGCAUGCAGAAUUAACCCAACUGUGUGACUGGUUGUCCAACCCGGCUUUCCUCCCUGGCCCACCUUGCAUACUGAGCUCUUAUUUCGUAAGGGCAGUUUGCGCUUAGGUGCAAAAUUGAUGAUUACAGAAGUCUAAUGUCCUGGAGCUGCUUCUUGAGCCAGAAAAGGUCAAUAAAUGGAAGCGACACAGUCCCACCAAUGGACAAAGAGUCUCUGUCCUGCGGCUGGGAAGGGGCGUAUGACUUUAACAAUAAGGCAACCUGCAGACUAAAAAGUUGUCUGUGAGAGAAAACAAAAAAAGUGGUUUUGGAAAAGGAUGGUUUACAACUGAAAAAUGAAAGUUUUAAUGGGAAGUUUUCAUCCUGCUCUAUUCAGAACAGAAAUACUUGUUCUGUGGAGGAUAUUACAAUUAUGACUAUUACUGUACUGCUUCACUUCUAUGAGGCAUGUGGAAAUAAUUCUUGGUUAUAUUCAGUCUUUACACCAUCAAGAAAUGAUAAGGGUUGUGUUCUCCCUUUCAAAACUGUGAGUAGUGGCAACUAGAGAAAGAAAAGAAGAAAUUUCUUACAACUGGCAGAUAGCAGGAGGAGAUGAUGUGGCAGGAGAAGAACAAUUUAGGUUUUUUAAUUGAGUAGCUAGCUUUUAAUGUGAAAGCAGACAGUAACUGUUUUUAAAACUAAUGCCUGUGAAUAUUACUAAUUUUCUUAAUAGAAAACUAAUGGUUUUGCUUUAUUGCCCUUCCUCAAACACCUUCGCUGACUUGGGUGGAGGACCAUGUGCUGGCUGUUUUCAUUGCCAGGGCCACUCACAGCAUCUUCCCUGCUGUGCUUUGCCCAGACAGCGUUAAGGAGCUAUUGACCUGUCUGAUGCUGUUCCUGAAGGGCUUGAAAACGUGAAUGCGGCGAUGCCUCGUGUCCGCCCGACCCCGCUCGGGGCAGCUGCUACCACGUGUCUCCAGCAACAGCCUGAAGGACGGAGAGGAGAAAACGAGUAUUGGGAUCGCUUUGAGAGGUACUGCCCGUGUCAGGGCCGAGGAGCGGUGCAAAGGGCUGGAGGAUGUCUGUGGACGUGGCAUGGGACAGCAUUUGUUCUGGUGGAGGCCACAACCCCAGCAGAAGGAUGACUUCACCGAGGGGCUCAAGUGUGGGCUCAGCAGAACAAAUCCAGGCUGUGAGCACGGGCAUUUGAUCCGGUGCCUGGGAACGCAUCGCGGCCUGGGCACGAGGAGUCAACCGCGUCAUCAGCAAAGGCAAACGGCGUACAGUUCCCUCUGCAAACGGGGGCACCGGCCAUUUAACGCAGAGCAGCCGUUGUGCUUCUUCCCACAGCAGCGCCAGUGCCCACGCUGCAACAGCCUGGGACCCUGGCUGUGGCACUUCUGAACUCGGGACUGUUUCAGUGGCUAACGCUUCAUCUGCGUUAAUACUUUUUUUUUUUUAAUACAGAACUACUCUUUUUCAAGUUCGUCUUUCUUAUGUGCGUUAUGUGCACAUGCAUGCGUUUUGGAUCAGCUGUAUGCACUGCACAGAGAUAUGCAGGUUGCUUAAAAAUUUAUUUGAUCUAAGAAUUUUUUUUUUCCUCUGACAAGUCCUCCUGGCUCUGGUUUUCAGUCGUGGAAAAAGCCAGCUCUAGCCCUGGAGAGCUGGAAGAGUGAGACAUUUCUGGUGUACUCCAGAAUGGGAAGAAAUCGAGACAUCAUUUUAAGGCCAUGCAUCAUUCCUAGAAAAUAAGCUUGCAUAUUUUACAUAAGAAUUGCAUAAUUACUUUCUACCUCUGCACAGGGCUGGUUCUUUUGCAUCUCAUAAUACCAGGAGUUUUUAAUAGACAUCUUAAAGACUCCGUUGUCUUUGGCAGCAUCCUGGCAGCUUGGCACGCAGCGUAAGCUGUAACAAUGACACCGGCUCCCUUCCCCUCCCCUCCCUUAAACACCAUGUUACUGAGAAUACAAGAAAAUCUGGCAGAAGUCAGCGGUUUCCUCCCGGGUAUGCCUCUCUCACCCACUGCCCCGUGUGCGGGAGGCUGCCGGACGGCCGGGGCAAGGUGUCGCACCCCGGGGAAGGAGCGACAUCGUCCCGGGUUUCGGGGUGCCCCGGGGUGCCCCUGUCCCCUGUUUUGAGCAGAGAGAGGUGCAUUUACCUGCGAGAGUUGAGAAACGUGCACUGGCCAGAGACAAACCAAAGGCUGUCUGAUGGGGUGUCUACGUGACCAACAAGCCCAAUCGCUGGGUGUCACUGGGAUUUUGUGUGUGUUAUUUUGGCCUGCAGUUUGCUUUAGCUCUCUCUUUCUCGUAUUUUUUACACUAUACUGGAAGCCACUCCUGUCUCAGAUGCAUCCACGUAGCUUGUUUCUAAAACACUUGCAAUAUUCCCUUAAGGCAGCAGGGGAAAAGGGGGGCUUUCAAACUAGAGUUUAUGGGGAAAAUCCUUCUCUUGGCAAUUUAUUUCACUGGCUUUGUCCCCACCGAUCUGCAGCGGUGAAGGCUCUAGCCAUACCUUGGCAGUUGUUUCGUGGGCUGUUGAAUUUCCAUAUCUGAUACUGUUCGCAGGGGUGGCUUUUCCUUUGUCUCUUUGCAGGGGCCGGUUUUGGUUAUCGAGGUCUGGUGAUGUCCUGGGAACUGCCGACAUUUGUGCAAGCCAUCCCAGGCGCCGUGACCGCAGGGUGGACCGUUAGGUGAUCUGAAUAUUACUUGGAAUAGUGUUAGUCUAAAAGCCGAGUCCUGCAGGCCCUGGGAAGCGUGGGGACACGGGCUGUUCUGCUGGGUUUGUGCGGGCAUGGGCAAUCCCGACAUUGCUGCAGAGCGGAGAGCGGUUGGGUUAGAAGUGCCCGUGGCAUCGGUUGCAUCCCCAGCAGCAGCUCAUCUUGGCCCUGAGUCCCCCAGAUGCCCCAGUACCCCAGUGUCCCCAGUGCAGGGUACCCCAGUGUCCCCAGUGCAGGGUACCCCGGUGUCCCCAGUGCAGGGUACCCCGGAGCCCACAGACAGCCCGAGCGCAGCGGGGCGAGCACCGUCUGCCCAAAGCACCGACGGGUGUGCAAAGCUCCGGCAGCUCAGGCGGUUGCAGUGAUUUUCUGUGCAACUGCAAGCGGACCAGAAGCCAGCAAUAUGGCCAUACUUUCCUCAUUGAAUUUUAAAAAUCUGAGGUUCAUCUCCCAAAA